rnacentral:lncRNA from 1 species
UUUUCAAAUUUUCUUUUUAUAAUUUAAAAAUACUUUUUGAAACUGUUUGUAAAAUUUUUUAUUUUUAUUUUAGUAUUUAUUUUUCAUAAAAUUUUAAACCCUAAUUCCAAAACCCCAUCCCCUUAACUCUAAACCCUAAGGUUUGGAUUAAUUAACCCAAGGGAUAUAAGUGUAUAUUUACUUCUUUAAUGAAACCUAUUUUUGUGACUUUGAGCCUUGAGUGUUACUUUGGGAACAAAAACUUGGUUUGGUGCUAUCCUAGUCUUUUUC